GUGCCAGCCGCCGCGGUAAUACCGGCAGCACGAGUGAUGACCGAUAUUAUUGGGCCUAAAGCGUCCGUAGCUGGCCAAGCAAGUCCAUUGGGAAAUCGACGCGCUCAACGCGUCGGCGUCCGGUGGAAACUGCACGGCUUGGGGCCGAGAGACUCGACGGGUACGUCCGGGGUAGGAGUGAAAUCCCAUAAUCCCGCACGGACCACCGAUGGCGAAAGCACUUCGAGAAAACGGAUCCGACAGUGAGGGACGAAAGCCAGGGUCUCCAACCGGAUUAGAAACCCGAGUAGUCC
rnacentral:rRNA from 1 species